rnacentral:lncRNA from 1 species
AUGACUUUAAAGUACUGGCCACCAAAUGCGGUGAUCAACCCCAAGCUCACCGCACCAAGUGGUUUCCUCAACGCUUUCGACGCUUCCCGCCUCCUUCUUACCGCCAGCAAUCCUUCAGGCGUCCCUCGGUAUCGAACAACAACAACCGUCAACAGCCCCGUCGGGCUGCCCAACCGCAAAGACAGCGCGGCCGGGCCACCCCCACCGCUGCUCAACCUCCCCGGCGCUCCUGACGCCAUCCCCUUUUCCGAAGACUCUUCUUACGGUACCGAUGCAGCUCUCAUUCCUCAGCUCCUCUCUUCUCCGAAUCAACCUCCUGGUCUCUUUCUAGAUCGCUUGGCUCCCUUCUUUCACCGGUGGAAAUCUAUUACUUCAGAUGCCUGGGUUCUCAAAAUUGUCCAAGAAGGCUAUGCCUUAGAGUUCGAGGAACUCCCGCCCACGGGUCAGGUCUUUCUCUCCAACCCUUCUCAAGAAAUUCUCGCAGAGGUCGACGCCCUUCUCGCCAAAGGGGCUAUUCGGCCUUCUCCAUCGGUACAGGACCCUCAAGGCUACUUCUCCAGGUACUUUACGGUCCCGAAGAGGGGUGGGGGCCUCCGCCCAAUUUUGGACUUACGCAUGCUCAAUGCCUUCAUACGUCCAACCAAGUUCAGGAUGGUCUCCAUCGCCUCCAUCCUCCCGAUGCUGCAGCGCGGAGACUUCUUCGUAUCUAUAGACCUUCGAGACGCCUAUUUCCACGUGGCGAUUCGGGAGAACCACAGGCGCUUCCUCUCUUUCAAAGUUCUCGACCAGACCUACCAGUUCACCGUUUUACCCUUUGGCCUCGUUACGGCCCCAAGGGUCUUUACCAAAGUCGUCGCUGUCGUGGCGGCCCACCUCCGACUCCAGGGAAUCACAGUCUUCCCUUAUCUAGACGACUGGCUUCUGGUCGAAUCCGACCCUGCCCUCCUCCGACGUCACGUCGACUACACUCUCUCUCUUCUAAAAUCCCUCGGUCUCCAGCUAAACCACGAAAAAUCUCACCUCACCCCGUCGAACAAAAUCCGCUUCAUCGGCGCUCUGUUCGACUCAAUCGCUCAGACUGUCUCUCUUCCGCUAGACAGGUUUCUGGCCCUUCGACAACAAAUCACCUUUUGCGAGACCCACCGGAGGGUCCGGGCUCGGUCCAUCCAGGUUCUCCUCGGCCACAUGGCCUCCACAGUCCUCACGACCCCGUUCGCCAGGCUCCAUCUCCGGACUUUGCAGAGGUGGUUCAUAGACGUUUUCAAGCCGUUUCGCCACCCCAAUUCGAGGUUUCUUUCGGUCCCGUCCCACGUUCGGCGGUCGCUUCUCUGGUGGAAAUCCCUCUCCAACGUCUGCAGGGGUCUCCCGUUCCACCCGGUUCCCCCCGCCACCACCAUAACCACAGACUCUUCCAAUUUCGGCUGGGGAGCCCACAUGAAAGGUCUCACUGUUCGAGGCCUCUGGUCUCCCUCCGAGAAGGCCAAUCACAUAAACUUCCUCGAACUCCUUGCCAUCUUCAAGGCUCUGAAAGCCUUCUCCCGCCUGAUCUCCCAAAGAUCGGUCCUCAUCCAAUCAGACAACACAGUAGCAGUCUUCUACAUCAACAAACAGGGCGGCACGGGCUCAAGGAAGCUGAUGCUUCUCUCCUCCCAGCUGUGGUAUUGGUGCAUAGCCCGCAACAUUCUGAUCUCGGCGAUUCACCUUCCCGGGAUCCAGAACAACUUGGCAGACGCCCUCAGCAGGAUGACGACUUCCUCCCACGAGUGGAUGCUCGAUCCCGAGACUCUUCUUUCUCUUUUUCUCAAAUGGGGUUUUCCCACUCUGGACCUUUUCGCCUCUCCUCAGAACGCUCAACUGCCUCGGUACGGUGCGAGACUUCCCCCAUCCUCCUCUCCGGGCUGCCUGGGAGACGCCUUCCUUCUAGACUGGUCGGCGGAACCGAUCUAUCUCUUUCCGCCUUUUCCUCUCAUACCGAGGGUCCUGCAAAAACUCCGGUCGGUACCGAUGUCGGCGAUCCUGAUAGCUCCAGCCUGGCCCCGUCAAUCUUGGUUCCCGGCUCUUCUUCGCCUCUCCAAUGCGACCUUCUUCACUCUGCCCCUUCUACCUCAUCUCUUGUCCAGGGAGAACGGCCAGAUCCUGCACCCGGAUCUCUCCUCUCUACAUCUCACUGCUUGGAGGAUUCUCGCCUGA